rnacentral:rRNA from 1 species
UCUACGGGAGGCAGCAGUGGGGAAUAUUGCACAAUGGGCGCAAGCCUGAUGCAGCGACGCCGCGUGAGGGAUGACGGCCUUCGGGUUGUAAACCUCUUUCAGUAGGGACGAAGCGCAAGUGACGGUACCUGCAGAAGAAGCGCCGGCUAACUACGUGCCAGCAGCCGCGGUAAUA